rnacentral:tRNA from 1 species
GCUCGAGUGGCGAAAUCGGUAUACGCGCUGGACUCAAAAUUCAGUGGGAGUGAUCCCAUGACGGUUCAAAUCCGUUCUCGAGUACCA